rnacentral:rRNA from 1 species
UACGUAGGGUGCGAGCGUUGUCCGGAAUUAUUGGGCGUAAAGGGCUCGUAGGCGGUUUGUCGCGUCGGGAGUGAAAACCUUGGGCUUAACUCAGGGCUUGCUUUCGAUACGGGCAGACUAGAGGUAUGCAGGGGAGAACGGAAUUCCUGGUUUAGCGGUGAAAUGCGCAGAUAUCAGGAGGAACACCGGUGGCGAAGGCGGUUCUCUGGGCAUGAUCUGACGCUGAGGAGCGAAAGUGUGGGGAGCGAACAGG